ensembl:lncRNA
AAGCAACCAGAAUUUGGAAUUCUUGUUUCAGUCGGAGAAGAGUUCAUGAAUUCAGUAUCAUGAUAAUAAGAUAAUGCUACAUCGUACCCGUGUGAGUACUUUAAGCUGUGGAAGAUUUCUCACCUACGUUAUCACAGGGUUCUGAGAAGCAGUGAAGCUAAUGUUCUGAAGGAGACAAAGAAGUAUGUUGCUGUGUUCCCAAGACAAAUAUCAAAGACGUUUCAGUCCUCAGGUAAUUUACUAGAUCUGCUUCUAGAACUAUUUACUUCGAAGCUUCAGUAAAAAUGAGAGAGAUGCCAAAUGGUGUUUAGUUUAGCAGACAGACAUCUGGGCCCUUCUCCUGGAUCUGGCCUUGCUGACAGGAAAUUUCUCCUGACAAUUGCAGGGCUUUGGUGAGGUGGAAGAAAUUUGUCUUCUCUGAAGAUAAAAUUCCAAAUUAUUAUUUUUUGAAUAGUCUCCAUUAAAUUUUCUGUAGUGCACUGAAAGCUUGUCCUUGCAGUUAACAACUACUGCCAUCGCUCCACAUUUACUUUAGGAAUGAAGGCUGAAUUAUUUAAGAAUGAAGAAGGGAUUACUAGAUAGAACAAGACUGCAGAGCCCUAUUUCAUGGGGUGGCAUUAACCUCAGAGGAUCAAAUCAGUGAUUGUUAGCAAAGUGCUUCAAACAGUGACUGCCACACAGAAGGGCUUGCUUACUAACUCAAUAAAUUAAAACAAAACUGAGGGAGAAUGUGCCUUCUCUGGGGAUAGUCCUGGGACUUCUGAGAAAAUCCUAAAGGACUCAGCUAUUGCCCUCAAAGCAGGAAUUUGCAAGUGAGCUGAGCUCAACAUGCAAUAUGUAGUGAUUUCUAACUUUUUAAGCCUUGGUGGUUUGGAAGAGUAACAAAUGCUUCCAAAUGAUGUGUAGUUUCCGUCCAGAUGGCAGAAGGAAGGGCCAUCAAAUCUGCCAGGAUCCCCAGGAAAUAUAGUGAGAUAUUAUUAUCAUUGUUUUCCAGACAUGGAAAUUGAGUCUCAAAGAGGUUAGGUUUCUUGCUCAGGUUAACUCAGAGUGAGGAUUUAAGCCCACACUUCUCUCAAGCCCACAUCAAGAUGCUUCCACGGCACUACUCAAGGCAACCAGGCAUGACCAGUAGUCUCAUUAGAACAAGUAUGUAUGUAUAUAUGCAUUUCUACUUCUCUUUUUGAUCUUAUGGAACUCUGUUCCUCGUGAGACAAUAAUUCUUGUUGCAUGCUUUAAAUUGACAAAGUUCCCUUCACUGAACUAAUACUUUCCACGGUGGACUCAGAGAGAUUAUGGAGUGCUUAUUAGGUGAUAUGAGACCUAGGAGAAGCUGUUAUAUGCUUUCGGAAAAUGGGAAUUUGUAUCUUCUUUAUAAAAAAUAACUGGUUGAGUCAGGAAAUAAUUUAAAAGUUUGGUCGUAUCUGAUCAACGUUCACUCAUUUGGUAAACCUUUUUUGAAAGCAGACUUUCAUGUGAGAGCUCUACUGGGCUUGGGGAAUAUAAAAAUCAGAAACACAUGCAUCUUGUAAUGAGCUCACAACGUAGUGUAUACACAAUCUAAUUGUAUAACUUUGUUAUUCAAGGCAUUAAAUAUUGCAAAAGAAACAAAAACGAUUAACCACUGAGCUAAUGUGUUCCACCAAAAAUUAAUCUGUUUCAGCAAAAAGUUUUGUGUAUGCAUACAAAUAUAGACACAUAAAGGUAGGUAUAGGUAUUUGCAAUCACUUUCUCUCUUAUGUAUGCCAAAGUCUAGCCAUAAUGAGUAGCAAAAGGCUAGGAUAAUUUAUAUUAGAAAUAAAAAAAAAAAAGAAAUGAGAUCAAAAUACUAAUAAAAAGGUGACAAAAUACAUUCAAUUAAACUAAAUUGUACUUACACUAUAAUGACUACUAGCUACUAUUUGUGGAACAGCUAGCUAUCUGGGUCAGAAGCCAUGUAUUUUUAAUACUAUGUCUCAUUUAUUUACUUAUUAUGGGGUAUUUUUCACGUUACAACCCAACGAUAUGUUUCACUUGCUGUCUGUGACUGGCAGUACAGUAA